GGGCCCGCACAAGCGGUGGAGCAUGUGGAUUAAUUCGAAGCAACGCGAAGAACCUUACCUAGCCUUGACAUCCUUGGAACCUGCCCCAAAAGGCGGGGUGCCCCUCGGGGAAUCAAGUGACAGGUGCUGCAUGGCUGUCGUCAGCUCGUGUCGUGAGAUGUUGGGUUAAGUCCCGCAACGAGCGCAACCCUUGUCUUUAGUUGCCAGCAUUUAGUUGGGCACUCUAGAGAGACUGCCGGUGUCAAGCCGGAGGAAGGUGGGGACGACGUCAAGUCAUCAUGGCCCUUACGGCUAGGGCUUCACACGUGCUACAAUGGACGGUACAAAGGGUAGCGAAGCCGCGAGGUGGAGCCAAUCCCAAAAAGCCGCUCUCAGUUCGGAUUGGAGUCUGCAACUCGACUCCAUGAAGUCGGAAUCGCUAGUAAUCGUGGAU
rnacentral:rRNA from 1 species